AGGGAGAACAAGAGUCUCAGGAACGGGAACUGCAAAGAGAGUGAAAUAAUCAUGAGGGAUGAAAAACAGGAAUCAUAUCCCCCACAAACCCUCCAACUCACCCAGAGGAGAGAGAAGAGGAGCCAAUCCUGCCAAUUCAGACUAUCUGAACCCCCAGAGAAAGGAAGGGGGAAGGGAGGGAGCUUAUGACAAAGUGACAGAAAAAGAUGCACUGGGAACCCUCCAUCUCAGAAUCCAUCCUUUGGACAUGUCCUUCCAUACCACAGAGCACGGCAGCUGGUUCUCCCUCAUACUUUGGAAUCUACUCUUCAUCCCACCUGGGUCCAAAAUAACCCACAUCUGUUCAGAGGAUUCAGCAGGGUUGAGGCUCUGGAUUUUCACCCCACUGGGACCAAAAACUAUUUCCAGAAGCCCCUGCCCAAUCCAUCUAUGAGCACUUCAGGGCUUUGGUUUCUGAAUGCAGAGAUCAGGGAAUUCCCACCCCAUCCCAAACAGUUUGUUCCUAAAAAGAAAAGGCCUCAUUUUAAGCAAUUCACAAGUCUUUACUACUAUCCUGCCCCCACCCCACCAUGAACCCUUCUUCCUCCUCCACCGCCACCCCCCCCCCAAACAGCUACCUGACAAUCCCGUACCUGAGCUGGCUCCCCUGAAGACAUUUCCCUUCCCCGUCCCCUAGGAUGAUGGGACCAUCUGGGGUGAAACUAGGAUGUUAUUCUGUAGCCUGUCGGGGUGAGAAGGGUGACCGAGGAGGUUUCUGAAGGGGCUUUAGGCCCUUUCAUACCCCGAUUCCCCCCAGGCUCUUUUCCUGCAGACAGAUGCUCUAGACUUUGCCACACUGGGAAAAUGCUUGUUCACUUUAUUAUGGAGCAGAUCCGGCUGAUCCCACCAAUAUGAAAUGCACAAAAACAUUUUUAAGCACUCUCCAGUAACAAAGUCUCUGAAUCAAAUGCCAGAGAAGAGUGGACUCUAAGGAGCUGCUUUGGGUAUAGGUACGUGGCAUUAUAAACCCAGAUUCAGACUCAGGUUUGAGCCCAAACCCCUUCUACCGUCCUCACACAAAUCUUUCUGAUUUGGGUCAGUAAAUCCUCAGGACCCAAGUCCUAGGACCCACCAGGGAUGUUGGGUCUGAGUCCAAGUCCCACUGGGAUUCAGGUCCAAGUGCUAUCAUUUUGCAGUCUGGACAUAGAUCAAGCCCGAGUCACCAAACUCAAGUCUGGAAAGUCUGCCGACGCUUUCCUGAAAUCUCAUGGGCCAAUAUUUCUCAGCCCUGCUAUCCCAACACUACCCACUUGACUCCCAAGCACCAGAAGCAACCCCCCUUGGUUCCCAUCCAGCUGCUCAGCAUUUAACCCUUCCCUUUUAUUCUGACUGCUGAACUAUAAGCACAGUUUACCAUCUUCUACAUUAGUUAUGGCCAGUAAGAAGAUAUCCUAGGCCAUGUUUCCACCAAGCGCAUUGCUAACUGGUCACAGGAACAAAGCCAGAUUCUGGUUACGCUCUGAUGUGAGGCAACCAAGAUGCUUGACUUCAGCAAGAGUACCAGAUAAGAGCUUGUGUACCAGGACAUAUCGGAGAAGCUGGCAGUGUCGGAGAUUGACCGGACCAUUGCUCAAUGCAGAGAAAGAAUCUGGUGGCUUGAGACCAACUACUUGGAGUCAGGGAUGACAACCACAUUUCUGUCUACCUGCCUCUUAGACAAGGAAUUCAGCCUAGUACUGGGAACUGCAGCAAGCUCUGAGUCCACAGCAGCACAUGACAAUUUCCUGAGUCACAGGCAGCACCCCAGGAGAGCCAGGAGCCUUUGGAUCAAGCUCAGGAAGUGACUCUGACACUCACGCAGGUCGCUGGGGAGGCUUUGCUGCUGGAAAAGCUGCAACACAUCCUGGGUCCAUACUCAGAGGAGCUGUUUGAGCAUGCCCCGAGGAGUAGCCUGCAGCCGAAUGGGCAGAAGAGCUAGAAGUAGCACCAGAACCCGUUAAACUUCUGCCUCCACAUUUGUUGUUAUUAAAACACAGCUGGGAUGGAUUUCCAGCUUACGGCCGAAUUAAAUUAUUAUUACAAGCUGGCAGAACACACACCAGUACCUUGGCAUCACCCCUCCCACCACCCCUACCACUGUGUGAAAUUCAAAAAGGAUACUGAGAAGGGAAAAGAAAAGUUAAACACGCAGCUAUGGUGAAAUUUGUACUAGACACGCACACGUUGUUUUGUUGGGGUGCUAAAAUUAAGAAUCUUACAUUGCCCUCCCCGACAGUAUGCCGCACCAUGCGACUUGGUCAUACCAGACCAUCCUGAGCUACCUGACCAAUUACUCAAGACUGUUAUGGUCUGGGGGAAGGGGAGUAUGUAAUCCAUGGAUGCCAUAUGAACUGUCUGAAAUAAACCGGGAGGUUGUAUGUGAUCCACAGGUCCUGUACUAUGAGUCCAUAAAUGUUCCAAGGAUGGAGUGCUUUGUAAUCCUUUGUUACAGAAGUAUGAUCAGGGCCAGUGUUGUGAGCCCAAGCUGUCCUUAGGUCACUGCAUUAUUUCAGGGAGCAUUCAGGGAGGCUGCAAUACAUCUGCAGGCAAACACAACAUCCUACUGAUUUCCCCAUGAAUUUUCAACCAAUCCUGAUGAUUGCCAACUUUUCUCAGUACAGGAACUGCAGAUGGGUGGUCACAUUUUGCAGCAGGGCAUACUUUCUAGGGCCU